rnacentral:rRNA from 1 species
UCUGGCGGUCAUUGGCUGUCCGAGUUGUAAUCUAGAGAAGUGUUACCCGCGCUGGACCGUGUACAAGUCUCCUGGAAUGGAGCAUCAUAGAGGGUGAGAAUCCCGUCUCUGACACGGACUACCAGGGCUUUGUGGUAUGCUCUCAAAGAGUCGAGUUGUUUGGGAAUGCAGCUCAAAAUGGGUGGUAAAUUCCAUCUAAAGCUAAAUAUUGGCGAGAGACCGAUAGCGAACAAGUACCGUGAGGGAAAGAUGAAAAGAACUUUGGAAAGAGAGUUAAACAGUACGUGAAAUUGCUGAAAGGGAAACGCUUGAAGUCAGUCGCGUUGGCCGGGGAUCAGCCUCGCAUUUUGCGUGGUGUACUUCCUGGUUGACGGGUCAGCAUCAAUUUUGACCGCUGGAAAAAGGCUUAGGGAAUGUGGCAGCUCCGGCUGUGUUAUAGCCCUUGGUCACAUACAGCGGUUGAGAUUGAGGAACUCAGCACGCCGCAAGGCCGGGUUUCGACCACGUUCGUGCUUAGGAUGCUGGCAUAAUGGCUUUAAGCGACCCGUCUUGAAACACGGACCAAGGAGUCUAACAUGCCUGCGAGUGUUUGGGUGGAAAACCCGAGCGCGUAAUGAAAGUGAAAGUUGAGAUCCCUGUCGUGGGGAGCAUCGACGCCCGGACCAGAACUUUUGGGACGGAUCCGCGGUAGAGCAUGUAUGUUGGGACCCGAAAGAUGGUGAACUAUGCCUGAAUAGGGUGAAGCCAGAGGAAACUCUGGUGGAGGCUCGUAGCGAUUCUGACGUGCAAAUCGAUCGUCAAAUUUGGGUAUAGGGGCGAAAGACUAAUCGAACCUUCAGU